GACUGACUCAUAUGAAGUCAUUUUUGUACGGUUUCUCAUCGUGAGAUGUAAUGUAAUUCUGGUUUUAUUUUUUUCUCCCAGCUGCACAGCUGUCUUUUAUAAUGCACAUAGGUUAUAUUAAACCGAGCACUAAUUAUCACUGUGCCAAGAGGCAGCAGCGCUAGGACUGCAGAUGAAACAGAAAACAGAGCUACAGCAAAAAGUACAGCAGAUUAAACCUCACUCAUGACCUUUUAAGUCUUGUGGGUGAGCUCUGAGCUACACACUGAGAUAAAGUGGAAUUUCCUGGCUUCAGCAGAGAGAAACUCAUGUCUUUUUGCUCCGAAGCACAAAGCACUACUGCUCAAGAAUAAGGAGAAUCAUCCUUGCCACAUGCCAGGCUGUGGGAUGACUUCUGCUUCUCUUGAUAACACUCACAAGCACGUAUCUGACAGUCAGUCCUUUAAGGUAAGCCCUGAGUCGCCGGUGUUCUCCCACUUCAGGAAAGCCGAGCACCAUCAGCUAAUGGCCAUGAAUAUUUCAGCUGUGUCAUUAUUAUUUCACAGAGGUAAAUGCUGCAGGGAAGAGCUGGGAGAUGGCAGCACGUUGCGUUCGGCUGCACUUGGG
ensembl:lncRNA